rnacentral:rRNA from 1 species
GUAGGGAAUCUUCCGCAAUGGACGAAAGUCUGACGGAGCAACGCCGCGUGAGUGAAGAAGGUUUUCGGAUCGUAAAACUCUGUUGCCGGAGAAGAACGAAUUCUGGAGGAAAUGCCAGGAUUGUGACGGUAUCCGGCCAGAAAGCCACGGCUAACUACGUGCCAGCAGCCGCGGUAAUACGUAGGUGGCAAGCGUUGUCCGGAAUUAUUGGGCGUAAAGCGCGCGCAGGCGGCACCUUAAGUCUGAUGUGAAAUCUUGCGGCUCAACCGCAAGCGGUCAUUGGAAACUGGGGCGCUUGAGUGCAGAAGAGGAGAGCAGAAUUCCACGUGUAGCGGUGAAAUGCGUAGAGAUGUGGAGGAAUACCGGUGGCGAAGGCGGCUCUCUGGUCUGUUACUGACGCUGAGGUGCGAAAGCGUGGGGAGCGAACAGGAUUAGAUACCCUAGUAGUCC